CUCCUAAUUCUGGGGGAACACCCAUUUUUGGGGGUGCACCCCAUUUUGGAGGGGGGGUAACAUCCCAGUGUUGGGGUGCUGCUGCCCCCCCUCCAGUUUUUACCCCCUUUGCCCCCCAGGUUGGCUCCUGGAUUGGGUUUACCAUCAUGACGCAGUGUCUGCCUGUGGCUCUGUUCUCUCUGGUGGGCUUCGUGCAGAUGGCGAUAUGGGCGCAGGGGAAGCACCGCAGCUACCUGCGGGAGUUCCGUGAUUACCCACCGCUGCGCUCCCCCAUCGUCCCCUUCCUACUGUGAGGGGACACCUCCAACACCCCCCACCCCGGGGGACAGCCAGGGGGACGGCGGGGUGAUGGGGGGCACCCGAGUGAUGGGGGAUGUCUGGGUGAUGGGGGACACCCAAGCGACAAAGGACACCUGAGCGAUGGGGACGUUUGGGUGACAGGGGGCAGUUGGGUGAGAAAGGACACCUGGGUGACAAAGGACAUCUGGGUGACACCUUGGGGACAGCAGACCCCCUGCUGUGGUGAUGGAUGCAGUCAUGGUGUCCCCAUCCCACGCUGUCACCGAUUGUCACACUGGGGCCAGGUGUGACCCCAUGUCACCA
rnacentral:lncRNA from 1 species